CGGGCAUGGGGGGGGCUACCAUGCAGUCGAGCGGAACGAGUUAUCUGAACCUUCGGGGAACGAUAACGGCGUCGAGCGGCGGACGGGUGAGUAAUGCCUAGGAAAUUGCCCUGAUGUGGGGGAUAACCAUUGGAAACGAUGGCUAAUACCGCAUAAUACCUACGGGUCAAAGAGGGGGACCUUCGGGCCUCUCGCGUCAGGAUAUGCCUAGGUGGGAUUAGCUAGUUGGUGAGGUAAUGGCUCACCAAGGCGACGAUCCCUAGCUGGUCUGAGAGGAUGAUCAGCCACACUGGAACUGAGACACGGUCCAGACUCCUACGGGAGGCAGCAGUGGGGAAUAUUGCACAGUGGGCGCAAGCCUGAUGCAGCCAUGCCGCGUGUGUGAAGAAGGCCUUCGGGUUGUAAAGCACUUUCAGUCGUGAGGAAGGUGGUGGAGUUAAUAGCUGCAUUAUUUGACGUUAGCGACAGAAGAAGCACCGGCUAACUCCGUGCCAGCAGCCGCGGUAAUACGGAGGGUGCGAGCGUUAAUCGGAAUUACUGGGCGUAAAGCGCAUGCAGGUGGUUUGUUAAGUCAGAUGUGAAAGCCCGGGGCUCAACCUCGGAAUAGCAUUUGAAACUGGCAGACUAGAGUACUGUAAAGGGGGGUAGAAUUUCAGGUGUAGCGGUGAAAUGCGUAGAGAUCUGAAGGAAUACCGGUGGCGAAGGCGGCCCCCUGGACAGAUACUGACACUCAGAUGCGAAAGCGUGGGGAGCAAACAGGAUUAGAUACCCUGGUAGUCCACGCCGUAAACGAUGUCUACUUGGAGGUUGUGGCCUUGAGCCGUGGCUUUCGGAGCUAACGCGUUAAGUAUACCGCCUGGGGAGUACGGUCGCAAGAUUAAAACUCAAAUGAAUUGACGGGGGCCCGCACAAGCGGUGGAGCAUGUGGUUUAAUUCGAUGCAACGCGAAGAACCUUACCUACUCUUGACAUCCAGAGAACUUUCCAGAGAUGGAUUGCUGCCUUCGGGAACUCUGAAACAGGUGCUGCAUGGCCUGUCGUCACCUCGUGUUGGGAAAUGUGGGGUUAAGUCCCGCAACGAAGGCAACCCUUAAUCCUUGUUUGCCAGCACUUUCGGGGGGGGAACUCCAGGGGAGACUGCCCGGUGAAAAACCCGGAAGGAAGGUGGGGACCGACUUCAAGUCCAUCAUGGCCCCUUACCAGUGAGGGCUACCACCUGGCUUCAAUGGGCGCAUACAAAGGGGCGGCCAACUUUGGGGAAGUGGACCGAAUCCCAAAAAAGUGGUUCCCUAAUCCCGGAUUCGGAGUUCGGCACUCGCACUCCGGGGAAAAUCGGGAAUUCCGGUGGAAAAUCCGGGAUACAAUAGUUGCCCGGGGUAAAAAACUUUUCCGGGGUCCUUUUUCAACCCCCCGCUCUGACAAACGGCGGUGAGGGGUUUCCGAAAAAAGGUUUGGGUUUAACCUUUUGGGGGGGGCCCUUUCACUUUUGUUGUUCGUAUUGGGUUGAAGGUUAAACACGGAAUGGUGGGGGAAAAACACAACAAUUAUAAAAAAGAAUUCGUUUCCCCCCCCCUUGUGAAUUUGGUUUUUGG
rnacentral:rRNA from 1 species